GACGAACGCUGGCGGCGUGCUUAACACAUGCAAGUCGAACGGAAAGGCCCUGCUUUUGUGGGGUGCUCGAGUGGCGAACGGGUGAGUAACACGUGAGUAACCUGCCCUUGACUUUGGGAUAACUUCAGGAAACUGGGGCUAAUACCGGAUAGGAGCUCCUGCUGCAUGGUGGGGGUUGGAAAGUUUCGGCGGUUGGGGAUGGACUCGCGGCUUAUCAGCUUGUUGGUGGGGUAGUGGCUUACCAAGGCUUUGACGGGUAGCCGGCCUGAGAGGGUGACCGGCCACAUUGGGACUGAGAUACGGCCCAGACUCCUACGGGAGGCAGCAGUGGGGGAUAUUGCACAAUGGGCGGAAGCCUGAUGCAGCAACGCCGCGUGCGGGAUGACGGCCUUCGGGUUGUAAACCGCUUUCGCCUGUGACGAAGCGUGAGUGACGGUAAUGGGUAAAGAAGCACCGGCUAACUACGUGC
rnacentral:rRNA from 1 species